AACGUACGCUGGCGGCACGCCUAACACAUGCAAGUCGAACGAAGUAGCAAUACUUAGUGGCAGACGGGUGAGUAACAUGUAGGUAUCUGCCCUUUGGCCUGGAAUAACACGAGGAAACUUGUGCUAAUACCGGAUAAGUCUUUACGGAGAAAGCUUUAUGCACCAUUGGAUGAGCCUGCACUUGAUUAGUUUGUUGGUGGGGUAAUGGCCUACCAAGACUGUGAUCAAUAGCUGAUUUGAGAGGAUGAUCAGCCACAUUGGGACUGAGACACGGCCCAAACUCCUACGGGAGGCAGCAGUGGGGAAUCUUGCACAAUGGAGGAAACUCUGAUGCAGCGAUGCCGCGUGAGUGAAGAAGGCCCUUGGGUUGUAAAGCUCUUUCGUCGGGGAAGAAAAUGACUGUACCCGAAUAAGAAGGUCCGGCUAACUUCGUGCCAGCAGCCGCGGUAAUACGAAGGGACCUAGCGUAGUUCGGAAUUACUGGGCUUAAAGAGUUCGUAGGUGGUUGAAAAAGUUAGUGGUGAAAUCCCAGAGCUUAACUCUGGAACUGCCAUUAAAACUUUUCAGCUAGAGUAUGAUAGAGGAAAGCAGAAUUUCUAGUGUAGAGGUGAAAUUCGUAGAUAUUAGAAAGAAUACCAAUUGCGAAGGCAGCUCUCUGGAUCAUUACUGACACUGAGGAACGAAAGCAUGGGUAGCGAAGAGGAUUAGAUACCCUCGUAGUCCAUGCCGUAAACGAUGUGUGUUAGACGUUGGAAAUUUAUUUUCAGUGUCGCAGGGAAACCGAUAAACACACCGCCUGGGGAGUACGACCGCAAGGUUAAAACUCAAAUGAAUUGACGGGGACCCGCACAAGUAGUGGAGCAUGUGGUUUAAUUCGAAGAUACGCGCAGAACCUUACCAACACUUGACAUGUUCGUCGCGACUCUAAGAGAUUAGAGUUUUCGGUUCGGCCGGACGAAACACAGGUGCUGCAUGGCUGUCGUCAGCUCGUGUCGUGAGAUGUUGGGUUAAGUCCCGCAACGAGCGCAACCCUCACUUUUAGUUGCCAUCAUUAAGUUGGGCACUCUGAAAGAACUGCCAGUGAUAAGCUGGAGGAAGGUGGGGAUGACGUCAAGUCCUCAUGGCCCUUACGUGUUGGGCUACACACGUGCUACAAUGGUAUCUACAACAGGAAGCAAGACUGCGAAGUUAAGCAAAUCCCUAAAAGAUACCUCAGUUCGGAUUGCACUCUGCAACUCGAGUGCAUGAAGCUGGAAUUACUAGUAAUCGUGGAUCAGCGUGCCACGGUGAAUGCGUUCCCGGGUCU
rnacentral:rRNA from 1 species